AUUGAACGCUGGCGGCAGGCCUAACACAUGCAAGUCGAGCGGAUGAAGGGAGCUUGCUCCUGGAUUCAGCGGCGGACGGGUGAGUAAUGCCUAGGAAUCUGCCUGGUAGUGGGGGAUAACGUCCGGAAACGGGCGCUAAUACCGGAUACGUCCUGAGGGAGAAAGUGGGGGAUCUUCGGACCUCACGCUAUCAGAUGAGCCUAGGUCGGAUUAGCUAGUUGGUGGGGUAAAGGCCUACCAAGGCGACGAUCCGUAACUGGUCUGAGAGGAUGAUCAGUCACACUGGAACUGAGACACGGUCCAGACUCCUACGGGAGGCAGCAGUGGGGAAUAUUGGACCAUGGGCGAAAGCCUGAUCCAGCCAUGCCGCGUGUGUGAAGAAGGUCUUCGGAUUGUAAAGCACUUUAAGUUGGGAGGAAGGGCAGUAAGUUAAUACCUUGCUGUUUUGACGUUACCAACAGAAUAAGCACCGGCUAACUUCGUG
rnacentral:rRNA from 1 species